UCUCCGUAGGUGAACCUGCGGAGGGAUCAUUACUGAGUGAGGGCCUCCCCGGCCCGACCUCCAACCCUUUGUUAACACAACUUGUUGCUUCGGGGGCGACCCUGCCGUUUCGACGGCGAGCGCCCCCGGAGGCCUUCAAACACUGCAUCUUUGAGUCGGAGUUUAAGAAAAUUAAAACAAAACUUUCAACAACGGAUCUCUUGGUUCUGGCAUCGAUGAAGAACGCAGC
rnacentral:misc_RNA from 1 species